CCUACGGGAGACAGCAGUGAGGAAUAUUGGUCAAUGGGCGCGAGCCUGAACCAGCCAAGUAGCGUGAAGGAUGACUGCCCUACGGGUUGUAAACUUCUUUUAUAAAGGAAUAAAGUGAGGCACGUGUGACGUUUUGUAUGUACUUUAUGUAUAAGGAUCGGCUAACUCCGUGCCAGCCGCCGCGGUAAUACGGAGGAUUCGAGCGUUAUCCGGAUUGAUUGGGUUUAAAGGGAGCGUAGAUGGGUUGUUAAGUCAGUUGUGAACGUUUGCGGCUCAACCGUAAAAUUGCAAUUGAUACUGGCAGUCUUGAGUACAGUUGAGGUAGGCGGAAUUCGUGGUGUAGCGGUGAAAUGCUUAGAUAUCACGAAGAACUCCGAUUGCGAAGGCAGCUUACUAAACUGCCACUGACAUUGAUGCUCGAAAGUGUGGGUAUCAAACAGGAUUAGAUACCCUUGUAGUC
rnacentral:rRNA from 1 species